rnacentral:rRNA from 1 species
GAAAAGCCUUACCUACCCUUGACAUGUACGGAAGGCCGAAGAGAUUAGGCUGUGCUCGAAAGAGAACCGUAACACAGGUGCUGCAUGGCUGUCGUCAGCUCGUGUCGUGAGAUGUUGGGUUAAGUCCCGCAACGAGCGCAACCCUUGUCAUUAGUUGCUACAUUCAGUUGAGCACUCUAAUGAGACUGCCGGUGACAAACCGGAGGAAGGUGGGGAUGACGUCAAGUCCUCAUGGCCCUUAUGGGUAGGGCUUCACACGUCAUACAAUGGUACAUACAGAGGGCCGCCAACCCGCGAGGGGGAGCUAAUCCCAGAAAGUGUAUCGUAGUCCGGAUCGCAGUCUGCAACUCGACUGCGUGAAGUUGGAAUCGCUAGUAAUCGCGGAUCAGCAUGUCGCGGUGAAUACGUUCCCGGGUCUUGUACACACCGCCCGUCACACCAUGGGAGCGGGUUUUACCAGAAGUAGGUAGCUUAACCGCAAGGAGGGCGCUUACUCACGGUACGACGAGGUAUUGAAG